rnacentral:lncRNA from 1 species
UCAAAGGAUCAUAAUCUUUGAAAUCUUUUGGCCGAUGGAUCAUCUUUUGGUAGGAUAAAUAGGUUGAGAGUCAUGAGCCGAGAGCCAAAUUGAGAGUCGUAAGCCGAGGACCAAACUGUGAGAGUCCUAAGCCGAGGUAAGUUUGGUGCUACCUCUUUAUUUUCUUUAUUAUUUACUUAUGAAGAAUUGUGAUUGAGAGAAGAAUUAUUGAAUUGAUAAUCGUAGAAUAGAUUAUGGGUUGAAUGAAGACAGAAGUAGUAAGUCCAAGUAUUUUGUAGUUUGAUACUUGAUAUUAGAUAGCCAGAAUAUAGUCAAUUGUGACACUAAUAGACCCAAUUUAUAUAACUAAUCUUUCUCCAUGUUCGAACCUAUCUCUAAUAGUUCAAGUGUUUUGAUCUAUUGAAGCUUGAAUGCAGCAAAAACAACACUAUGAUUGCUUAAUUCACCUUCAAGAAGGAACAUAACUGCUAUUUGGACCAAUCUAUAAUUUAUCACAAAAUGAGGUCGUCAAACUCAAAUUAUAUAUUGAAGAGAAUCUUGCUAAGAACUUCAUAUGCUAUUUCAAAUCUCGAGCAGGAGGCCCAAUUCUAUUUGUGAAGAAAAUAGAUGAAUCAUUAUGGAUGUAUAU